UUCCCUACGGGACGCAGCAGUAGGGAAUCUUCCACAAUGGGCGCAAGUCUGAUGGAGCAACGCCGCGUGAGUGAAGAAGGUUUUCGGAUCGUAAAGCUCUGUUGUUGGUGAAGAAGGAUAUAGGUAGUAACUGGCCUAUAUUUGACGGUAAUCAACCAGAAAGUCACGGCUAACUACGUGCCAGCAGCCGCGGUAAUACGUAGGUGGCAAGCGUUGUCCGGAUUUAUUGGGCGUAAAGCGAGCGCAGGCGGAGAAAUAAGUCUGAUGUGAAAGCCCACGGCUCAACCGUGGAACUGCAUCGGAAA
rnacentral:rRNA from 1 species